UUCUUUUUCUUUUUUUAUAAAUUCUUUAUUUUGAAUUUUUCAGUAAUAUGGGGGUUAGGGUACAGAAAAGAAAACUUGGAAGCAAGGAUAAUUUCAGAGACCAUGAGUUGCAUUAAUGUGUUACAAAACAGUCAUAAAGAAGAAGUAAUUACAUAGUUUUUGUUCCAUAACUGUUGCUGUCCUUCGAUGUUGCUGUAGGACUUUGGUCCCGAUUCCGAGAGAGGGUUCUAAAGCUUAUUUGUAGAGGGGUGUAACAUUGUGUUGCAGUAUAUGAUAUUUUAACAGCUAUAACAAGAACAUUUUCGGUUCGUAAGUUACAUAGUUGUGUGCGUAGUGUGCCGUUUGGUUCAGUGUUUGGUCGGUGUGUUUAUGAGGUUCCCUUCGGGGAGAGUUAGGGGUACCAUGAGGGAAGGGGGGGUGGGUCUGGUGGGGGUUCUAGUCCUAUUGCCUGUCGUCUCCUGGUGUCAUGUAUCUUGGCAUGAGCUCUAUUGGUUUGUGGGUCCUUGGUGGUUGGGCGGUGUUGGUCUGAGAUCGAUUGUGGAGUUUUUUGCUUUUUUUCCACACAAAAACAAAUAUGAACGCUAACUUUGGCCAGUGUUUGUGACUAAGUGGCUACUAAAAAAGACUAAGCAUACCCCACGUUCAAUACCUUGGGUUGUCUACUUUUUCAAAUGGUAUGCCAUUAUGGGGGUAAUUCUCAUUCCUGGGCUACCACACCGUCUCAAAGGUAACAUUACUAAUGUGGCAAAUUUCAAUUUGAAAAUGGAACAUUCUAUAUUUGACCCUGUAACUUUCCAAAACACCAUAAAACCUGUUAAUGGAGGGUACUGUUGUACUCGUGAGACAUCGCUGAUUACAAAUAUGUGCAUUUUUUUGCAGUAAUACCUAAAAACAGUAUUAUGACAUUUACAGCUAAAAUGUGAGGCGGAACUACAAAUUUAAAAAAAUAAAAAAAUAAACAUUUCUCACAGUUUAAAUUUUAUUCAUAAUAAAUUAUGUUUCACAUAUAAAUAUUUGAUAUGAAAUGAAAGCCCUGUUUCUCCUGAUCAAAAUGAUAUAUAAUAAGUGUGGGUGCAUUUAAUAUGAAAGAGGUGAAUUACGGUUGAACAGACAUAUAGCGCAAAUUCCAGUUUUUGUUUUGAUCAGAACGUGUACUAUUGACUCCGUCCUGAAGGGGUUAAUAUUGUGUGCUGUUAUAAUUGCACCUUUAUCAAAAACAAAGAAAAAAAACGGUUUUGACCAACUCUUCAAGCUGCUUAGAACAAUUCUGGUUGACAAUUUAAUAUCACCCAGUGUGGCCUAAAUCCUUUACUUGUGGCAGAUGGAGAGAGAUUAAAAUAAAUAAAAAUUCAGUUAGGCAAUACAGCUACCUUGAGCAGUCCCAUCUGCCACUCUCUGCUAAACUGCUUAGCUUCAGCAUGUUCUGCAAGCUUGUGAGCUUUGCUGGAAGGUUAGCGACGCACUAUAUCUUUUCAAACAGCACCAGAGAUGCACUAAGUUUAACAAUAAGCUGGCUUAUGCAGUGCCUGCAGGGGUACUGUCUGAGCUCUCAGGCUGUCCCCCUAAAGCCUGCAAAAAAAAAAAAGUUUUAAAAUGUUGGUAAAAAAAAAGUGAUUAAAAUGUUUAAC
rnacentral:lncRNA from 1 species